AUGAAUGUCUCUCAUGGCCAUCUGUUGGCCUUGUGCUACAGGCUGACUCUGUCUCUGGAAGAAAAGGAUCUGAGCCUCAGAACCCUGGAAGAAAACAACCUGGCCCAGAUCAGUCAGGUGUCUCAGCUUCAUUCUGCCCUUACCCAGGCCGAGGAGCUCCACUCAGAGCAUAGAAGAGAAAUGCAGGAGCGCAACACCCAGAUCUGGGCCCUGCAGGACGCAGUGCUGCAGAUGGAAGCUUCCAAGGCAACUCGAGAGAAGCAGCUGCUGGAGGAACUGGAGGAGUCUCGAGCAGGAGAAUGUGCUUUGAGGGACUCUGUGGAUGUGCUGGAGGCUGAGGUGUCCGAGUUGCGUGUGAGGCUCCAGAGCUCUGAGAACAGAGCAGAGGCCUUGGCCAUACAGUGUCAACAGGCCAGUGGUGCCCACCAGGAAACUCAAUCCCAGCUGGACAAACUGCUGUUGGUUCUCCACCAUAUGAUUAGGGACAGCAGAAACUUGGUCACUUGGAGCUCAGAAGAGGGUCAUGUCAUGGGUCUAACUCCUUCUCAGGAUGGAGAUGUCCCUGCAGAGCUCACAGUGGACAGAGUGGCAGCAGCUCUGCAAGACCUGCGGCAGCACCUGGAACAUUCCCAGAAAGAUCUGGUAAUGUGUGCCCAGUGCACCCAGAAAUCCUAUAUUGUUGUUGGGCUGCUGGACAAGCACUGUGCCAAGGCCAGAAUGGGUGUCAGUCCUUGUAGGGAGCUUGGCUUACUGAGAUGCGGAGGAGGGAGGAUCACAAUCAUAAUCUGCCACUACAGUCCAGCUGUCCUCUCCCACAUAGCUAUUUCUGCUUUAGUGUUUGUAACCCUUUGUCUCCUGCCAGCAGUGGCAAUGACUUGUGAUUCUGCUCCUCUUAUCUCUUCCAGAAUGAUGCAAGGAACAAGAUACAGGCCUUGGAACUGGAGCUGGGCAUGGGGCAGGAUCAGAUGGACAGUCUCAGAGCCAGCAAUCAGGAGCUGCAGAUACAGUUGGAUGAAAGUCGGACAGGUACAGCUUCUCCGACCCACUGUCCCAUCCCGUCUCUCCAGUGGGGUUCUUUGAUGCCACAUAGAAAAAAAAAGACAGAGGGGAAAAACAACCAGCAGGAGAUUUAUCCAUCCAAGUGCCAGUGAAAGCUUUUUCUUGAGAAAGAUCUGUGGCUUGCAGAGCCAUCUGGCUGUGCUAGGGCUGAUCCUGGGCUGGAGCCUUUCAGGUGCCAUGUCUCUAUUAAGGAGCUGUAGCUGGAUGCCUCAGCUCGAUUCCCCCAAACUCCAGGUCCUGCCAGAGCCUCCAGGGCCAUUGGCCUCGCUGAGCAGGGCUGCACAGGCAUCCCCU
rnacentral:lncRNA from 1 species